rnacentral:lncRNA from 1 species
GUUCAGUCCAAUUAUUACAAUCCAAAAAUAGAAAAAUGCGAAAAAUAUAAAUCCUAUUCUAAGCUAGUCCUAGACUAAGCUCCAAUGUUUCACCCGAUGCCUCGGGCCUUGAUCGAGAUCCGCCUUCGCCAACAUGAUACGUCGGUACAUUCCCCGGUGAAUAAAUACAUCAAUCUUCGGGGCAUUCCCCGGCCAAAUGAAUACACUUCAAUCCAAAAACAUAAACCAACACAUUUCAACAAAACACCCUCAAUAUUCAACGAUCGCAAGUCAUAAACUUUGCCUAACCCACUUAUAUUUGUCUAUCAAUGGUCGACCUAAACAUGAUACUACUAUUUUUCAACAACAUCCAUGCUUAUUCCGAACUGGACUACAUAUCACGUUCAAUGUCAACGAUUAAUUAAAACAACAAUAUUCAUUUUUAUCAACUUUCAAUUCUCGUUUUUCCCAAUUUCAUUGUCAAACUAGUUAACCAAUUCUUCGACUAUCAAAUCCAAUAUCAACCACGUACACACAAAAAAGAUUCAAAUACGCUAACCAAACAAGUUAUUCACACCCAUAACAAACGACUAAAAUUCCAAAAUAGAAUAGAGAAUGAGAUGAGAAAUGGACCUCAAUGCUUUAUUGAUUAACUGAUCUUUCCGAAUAGAACCGCGUCCAACGGAACUCAACGUCGAACCUCAGACCGACGAAACCGCAUCUCGGACUAGCCUCGAUAUGAACCCACAACUUGAACAAAAAUCCAAACUAGAAUCAAAUGCCGACCACCAGAAUCCAAACCCGAUUUCCGGUAGAAAACUGAAGACGCGUACAAAAUCGAACCCCGAUGAGCUACCAACUAGAUUUCAUCCAGAAAACAAGAAGACCGAGAGGAUCUAGGGAAUUUUAGGAUGGAUCAGGCCGAAACGAUAAGCUUGACGUCGAUUUCAGUGAGAUUUCACCGAAAUCCAAAGAGAAACGAUCGAACGAGGAAUGAAAAACUAAUUCCGACGAUCUAAGUCGCCGGAACAGUGACCAACGACUUGAAAUCUUCACUCUCUCUCUUGAUUUUUCACCCUCUCUACUUGAUCUAUCCCUUACCCCACUGUAUCUUGCGAAAAAAAAUGAAGAACAGAAGAAAAGAAAUGGUAUUUUUCUCUUUCUCGUUCUCUCUCUGCUACUCUCUCUCUUAUCGAUCUAUUCUCUUUUCUCUAUGUGUGUGUCUGUGAGAUGCUGUGAGGUGUGUGGUCCUUGUGGGAGUAAUGAUGGGUUUGCGAUGGAGAAGAAAAGGAGAGGAUAAUCUACUCUCAAAAAUGGCAUUUUUGAAGCCAGACCCAGGAAGGAAAAAAAAAU